rnacentral:rRNA from 1 species
UACGUAGGGUGCAGGCGUUAAUCGGAAUUACUGGGCGUAAAGCGUGCGCAGGCGGCUCUUUAAGUCAGAUGUGAAAUCCCCGAGCUUAACUUGGGAACUGCGUUUGAAACUGGAGAGCUAGAGUGCGGUAGAGGGGGGUGGAAUUCCACGUGUAGCAGUGAAAUGCGUAGAUAUGUGGAGGAACACCGAUGGCGAAGGCAGCCCCCUGGGCCUGCACUGACGCUCAUGCACGAAAGCGUGGGUAGCAAACAGG